UACGAAGGGGGCGAGCGUUGUUCGGAAUUACUGGGCGUAAAGGGCUCGUAGGCGGCCAACUAAGUCAUACGUGAAAUCCCUCGGCUUAACCGGGGAACUGCGUCUGAUACUGGAUGGCUUGAGAUUGGGAGAGGGAUGCGGAAUUCCAGGUGUAGCGGUGAAAUGCGUAGAUAUCUGGAGGAACACCGGUGGCGAAGGCGGCAUCCUGGACCAACACUGACGCUGAGGAGCGAAAGCCAGGGGAGCAAACGGG
rnacentral:rRNA from 1 species